rnacentral:rRNA from 1 species
UACGGAAGGCAGCAGUGGGGAAUAUUGCACAAUGGGCGCAAGCCUGAUGCAGCCAUGCCGCGUGUAUGAAAAAGGCCUUCGGGUUGUAAAGUACUUUCAGUCGUGAGGAAGGUGUUAAGGUUAAUAACCUUAGCAAUUGACGUUAGCGACAGAAGAAGCACCGGCUAACUCCGUGCCAGCAGCCGCGGUAAUACGGAGGGUGCGAGCGUUAAUCGGAAUUACUGGGCGUAAAGGGCGCGCAGGCGGUUAAUUAAGUUGGAUGUGAAAUCCCCGGGCUUAACCUGGGAAUGGCAUUCAAGACUGGUUAGCUAGAGUCUUGUAGAGGGGGUAGAAUUCCGAUGUGUAGCGGUGAAAUGCGUAGAGAUGUGGAGGAAUACCGGUGGCGAAGGCGGCCCCCUGGACAAAGACUGACGCUCAUGUGCGAAAGCGUGGGGAGCAAAC